rnacentral:rRNA from 1 species
UGCGUAGGCGGUAGCUUAAGUUAGAUGUGAAAUACCCGAGCUUAACUUGGGAAGUGCAUCUAAUACUGGGCAACUAGAGUGCAGGAGAGGGAAGCGGAAUUCCUAGUGUAGCGGUGAAAUGCGUAGAUAUUAGGAGGAACACCAGUGGCGAAGGCGGCUUUCUGGACUGUAACUGACGCUGAGGCACGAAAGCGUGGGGAGCAAACA